CCUACGGGAGGCAGCAGUGAGGAAUAUUGGUCAAUGGACGAGAGUCUGAACCAGCCCAGUAGCGUGAAGGAUGACUGCCCUAUGGGUUGUAAACUUCUUUUAUAUGGGAAUAAAACGUUCCACGUGUGGGAUUUUGUAUGUACCAUAUGAAUAAGGAUCGGCUAACUCCGUGCCAGCAGCCGCGGUAAUACGGAGGAUCCGAGCGUUAUCCGGAUUUAUUGGGUUUAAAGGGAGCGUAGGUGGAUUGUUAAGUCAGUUGUGAAAGUGUGCGGCUCAACCGUAAAAUUGCCGUUGAAACUGGCAGUCUUGAGUACAGUAGAGGUGGGCGGAAUUCGUGGUGUAGCGGUGAAAUGCUUAGAUAUCACGAAGAACUCCGAUUGCGAAGGCAGUUCACUGGACUGCAACUGACACUGAGGCUCGAAAGUGUGGGUAUCAAACAGGAUUAGAUACCCUAGUAGUC
rnacentral:rRNA from 1 species